CCUUGGUGUUGUGGUAUUUUACAGGUGUUUCCAUCUCUUCCUGUAUGUUGUCCUAUUAACAAAGAGGAGAGAUACUGCAAGUUAACAUCUUGGAAAGCAAACAAGGUAUUUGCAGUAAGAUGUGCCUUCCUUUUUGGAGUAUGUUUAUGUUGAUGCUCUGCGCAAAAACCUUGGAGGUAGUGAUAGAAGAUCAAGCACGUCAUUCUCGGUGGCAGACAUUAAAAGUGGAAGACGGACAUACCACCUACCACUAUCUGAAGAGACACUCGGACGGAACUUUUACUAAUGACCUGACUAACCAACUAGAUUUGCUAAAGGCUAAAGACUUCGUUGCUUGGCUGGCUAGCACCAAACGUGAGAGUCAACAGAAGCGAGGUCUUCAGGAAGACAGGAUGAAGACUGGGGAACUGGUCACUCUGCUCAAUCAAGCAUGGGAAUGGAGCUAACCACACUCAAAAAACACCAAAAAAGCACCAAAACGUACGUCUGGCCCUUGCUCCAGUCCCAGGCCACCACCAGACCCACCAAACCAGCAGUGCCACAAUGAUCUUGCCAGGAGGAAACACGGACAACGGAGCCGGCGGGUGUAGUUCGGAUUUUCACACAUUGUUGGAUCUGCCAGCAGUUUCUGGUGGGCGGGGCUUGCCCAUCAUUUGCCUUAGGAGUGAAUGAUUGAUCUGUUAAUAGUUGCUAGAACGGUUACCACACCGCCAAAAUAAACAAAUCCAAUCUAUGUGUCCCUACUCUUAAAACUGCAGGACCCGGAAACCGGACAAAACCACACCCUCUGUAUCCUUCAACACUGUGCACACACCUGUUGUACCUCUGGCUGCGCUCCAACAAAGAGAAUGAUAAACAAAUGCAUAUGGUCUCCACAGCACUGCCAAAGCAAAACAUGCAAGGCAGCCUAAGAUUUAUACACAGUACUGCACAUGUUUAAAUAUGAUUAACUCAAUCAAUUUAGAGCUGUUUAUUUAUUCAUUCAUUUAUUAUUUAUUUUUAUUAUUGUUAUCCUGUGGCACAGCCCAAAUGCAAAAUAACAAUUAGCGAUUCUUUGUUGUUACUUGAAGUACUGUGAUCAACAAUUUCAUUGGUUAAAAUGUCAAUAAAGGAAAAUGGCUUUAAAAUGCA